GGCAUCCAACUUGUCGCCGGCUUAUUCAAUUUCAUCGGAAUCAAGUGACAGCCCAGUCAUAAGCGUGCACGAAGAAAACGAGGAACCGAAGAAAGCGAAAAACAGUUCGAUGGCCGUAAAUAGAUGCGGUGAAAAUGGGAUCUUCCAUCAGAACGGAAAUGGUACACUCGUUAAUGGGAACAACAUGCACCACAGCUCAGCUCAGGUCCACCAGAUGUCCAUGACAAUUGCUGACGAGCCAUACGUAUGUACGGACAUUUCCAGCUUACUUCGGGACUUGGAAGACUAAAGCCGAAGGAAUGAAGAAUUCUAAAAAAAGACGACAUUGGAAUCGAUGUUUUAAUUUCAUUUUGAACCACAACCAUAGUAGUAGUGGCAAUUGACCCAUGAUUCGAUUUCUUAAUCUAAUUUAAGGUUUAUUGAAUUAAUUGAAACUUUGAUUGUAAUCGAUACCAAUUGAUAUAGAAUACACAAACUGGAUGUAUUUGAAUGAAAUUUCCAAUAAGUUUAUAUUUAUGAAAUUACAUUUCAAUAAAAA